rnacentral:rRNA from 2 species
CAUGCAAGUCGAGCGAACUGAUUAGAAGCUUGCUUCUAUGACGUUAGCGGCGGACGGGUGAGUAACACGUGGGCAACCUGCCUGUAAGACUGGGAUAACUUCGGGAAACCGAAGCUAAUACCGGAUAGGAUCUUCUCCUUCAUGGGAGAUGAUUGAAAGAUGGUUUCGGCUAUCACUUACAGAUGGGCCCGCGGUGCAUUAGCUAGUUGGUGAGGUAACGGCUCACCAAGGCAACGAUGCAUAGCCGACCUGAGAGGGUGAUCGGCCACACUGGGACUGAGACACGGCCCAGACUCCUACGGGAGGCAGCAGUAGGGAAUCUUCCGCAAUGGACGAAAGUCUGACGGAGCAACGCCGCGUGAGUGAUGAAGGCUUUCGGGUCGUAAAACUCUGUUGUUAGGGAAGAACAAGUACAAGAGUAACUGCUUGUACCUUGACGGUACCUAACCAGAAAGCCACGGCUAACUACGUGCCAGCAGCCGCGGUAAUACGUAGGUGGCAAGCGUUAUCCGGAAUUAUUGGGCGUAAAGCGCGCGCAGGCGGUUUCUUAAGUCUGAUGUGAAAGCCCACGGCUCAACCGUGGAGGGUCAUUGGAAACUGGGGAACUUGAGUGCAGAAGAGAAAAGCGGAAUUCCACGUGUAGCGGUGAAAUGCGUAGAGAUGUGGAGGAACACCAGUGGCGAAAGCGGCUUUUUGGUCUGUAACUGACGCUGAGCGCGAAAGCGUGGGGAGCAAACAGAUUAGAUACCCUGGUAGUCCACGCCGUAAACGAUGAGUGCUAAGUGUUAGAGGGUUUCCGCCCUUUAGUGCUGCAGCUACGCAUUAAGCACUCCGCCUGGGGAGUA